UGUAUCUGAAGCCUGACGAGGAUGAGAACCUCCGGGGGCAAGAGGUUCGACCCGAGCGAAGCGAGAGAACGUUGCGUCAGCAACGGCCCGCAGGGCGAGCCACGCAGUGGCGAGUCAUCCUCU
rnacentral:sRNA from 1 species